UACGUAGGGUGCAAGCGUUGUCCGGAAUUAUUGGGCGUAAAGAGCUCGUAGGCGGUUUGUCGCGUCUGGUGUGAAAACUCAGGGCUUAACUCUGAGCUUGCAUCGGGUACGGGCAGACUAGAGUGUGCUAGGGGAGACUGGAAUUCCUGGUGUAGCGGUGAAAUGCGCAGAUAUCAGGAGGAACACCGGUGGCGAAGGCGGGUCUCUGGGGCAUAACUGACGCUGAGGAGCGAAAGCAUGGGGAGCGAACAGG
rnacentral:rRNA from 1 species